UUUUAUCUGACGAGUCACAAAUAGGACGAAACGCGCGUCCUGGAC
rnacentral:hammerhead_ribozyme from 1 species